AUAAAAAUCAGGAUAUUUUUGUUUCUUACAUUUUUCAUUCCACGUAGCGGAGGAAUUGCAGGCUUAUCUUUCUAACUAGAAAAUGCAUUCUGCGCAGAAGCUGGAGUGUAGAUUUAUCACAGAAACAUUCCAGUGGGAAAAGACCCUCGGAAUCAUCAAGUGCAACUGCUAUCCCUAAUCUGUCAUCAGUAAAGAUGUUAAACAGAAGUCCCAACACUGAGCCCUGAGGAACACUGCUUGUGCCUGGCAUCUAUCUGGAUUUAACACCACUGACCACUACCUAUUGGGCCUUUUUGCCCAGCGGUGCUUUAUUCAGCAGAGCUGUGUCCAUCCAAGCCAUCAGCAGCCAGUUUGGUCUUGAGAAUUCUGUGGAUAACAGUGUCAAAAGUUUUUCCAAAGUCUAGGUAGACAGUAUCCACAGCCUCAACCAUUAGUCACCUGGUAAUAAAAGGAGAUCGGGUUGGUCAGACAGGACCUGCCCUUCAUGAACCCCUGCUGGCUGGGCCUGCUCCCCUGGUUGUUCCCUCUGUGGUGUCUAAUGGUGCUUGAGGU